rnacentral:misc_RNA from 1 species
AUUUUCGCUUCGGUGAACGCUAAGCAAAUCGUCUCCCGUUUCGGCUGCUGGUCCAAGAAAAACUUGGCUGGUGGAGCCGAUGUCUUCGCUCCAGCGAGUGUUAGAUCCCAUCCCUUCUUCAAUCUUUUUUCUACCACCGUUACCCUUACCCAAAUUCCAUUUUUACACCACCGCCGUAAAACCCAGAACCCACUUUCUCCUCCUCUCGGCAAGAGCAGCCAGAAGAGAUGUCUGGACCAGAAACAACACAACUCAUAGAACGCCGUCGUAUUUUCCAAAACGACAAAACAAAGAACCGGUGUUUUUGGAUCACAGUGUAGACAUGAACGAGCUGUUGAGCUCCAUUAGCCAAACCCAAAACGAGCAGGAACUUUACUCUUUGCUUUCUCCAUACAAAGAUAGGCAACUUUCUAUCCGGUUCAUGGUUUCUCUUCUUUCUCAUGAAUCCGAUUGGGAGAGAUCUAUCGCUCUUCUUGAUUGGAUUAAUGACGUAGCUCGCUAUUCUCCUUCGGUGUUUGCAUACAACGUGGUUAUGCGUAAUGUGCUUAGGGCCAAGCAGUGGGAACUCGCUUAUGGCCUGUUUGAUGAAAUGCGUCAGAGAGCUCUUGCACCUGAUAGGUAUACUUACUCUAUGCUCAUUACUUUUUUUGGAAAAGCGGGUAUGUUUGAUUCUUCUCUUUUUUGGCUCCAACAAAUGGAGCAAGACCGUGUGUCAGGUGAUCUUGUUUUGUAUAGUAAUUUAAUUGAGCUUUCGCGCAAGUUGCGAGAUUAUUCUAAGGCUAUUUCUAUAUUUAUGAGGCUAAAAAGGAGUGGGAUUAUGCCGGAUUUGGUUGCCUAUAAUUCCAUGAUUAAUGUCUUUGGGAAAGCUAGGUUGUUUAGAGAGGCGAGGAUGCUGCUAAAGGAGAUGAGAGAGGUGGGGGUUAUGCCUGAUACAGUAAGUUAUUCAACGCUUUUAAGUGUUUAUGUUGAACAUGAGAAGUUUGUGGAGGCCUUGUCUGUUUUUGCAGAGAUGAAAGAUGUCAAGUGCCCACUUGACCUCACAACAUGUAAUAUUAUGAUUGAUGUUUAUGGACAGCUUGAUAUGGCCAAGGAAGCAGAUAGGUUGUUUUGGAGCAUGAGGAAGAUGGGGAUAGAGCCAAAUGUUGUUAGUUAUAAUACCCUUUUGAAGGUCUAUGGCGAGGCUGAACUUUUUGGGGAAGCUAUCCAUUUAUUUAGGUUGAUGCAGAGGAAGGAUAUUGAGCAGAAUGUUAUCACAUACAAUACUAUGAUCAAGAUUUAUGGGAAGUCACUUGAGCAUGAAAAGGCCACAAAUCUUGUGCAAGAGAUGCAGAAAAGAGGCAUUGAACCAAAUGCCAUUACAUACUCAACAAUCAUUUCUAUUUGGGGUAAGGCAGGAAAAUUGGAUAGGGCAGCAAUGUUGUUCCAAAAGCUGAGGAGUUCAGGGGUUGAGAUUGAUCAAGUCCUUUAUCAAACCAUGAUUGUAGCUUAUGAGAGGGUAGGCUUGGUUGCUCAUGCCAAGCGUCUGCUUCAUGAGCUCAAAUGCCCUGAUAGUAUCCCUAGGGAGACUGCCAUUAAAAUUCUUGCCAGAGCUGGUAGGAUAGAAGAGGCCACGUGGGUUUUUCGUCAGGCUUUUGAUGAUGGUGAGGUGAAGGACAUAUCUGUAUUUGGAUGCAUGAUUGAUCUUUUCUCAAGAAACAAAAGGCCUGCAAAUGUCAUCGAGGUGUUUGAGAAGAUGAGAGGAUCUGGAUAUUUCCCAGAUUCUGAUGUGAUUGCUCUUGUCCUGAAUGCUUAUGGAAAGUUGAGGGAAUUUGAGAAGGCAGAUUCUUUAUAUAGGGAAAUGCAGGAAGAAGGGUGUGUUUUUCCAGAUGAAGUUCACUUUCAGAUGCUGAGCCUCCAUGGUGCAAGAAAAGAUUUUAUGAUGGUAGAAUCUCUGUUUGAGAAGCUAGAUUCUGAUCCUAACAUUAACAAAAAGGAAUUGCAUCUUGUUGUUGCCAGCAUCUAUGAAAAAGCAAAUAGAUUAAAUGAUGCAUCACGAAUCAUGAACAGGAUGAGUGAAGAAGGGGUUUUGAGAUUACAACCUUUUUAGAAGUUUGAAUCGGCCUAGUGUCUUGUAGCAUCUGCCAACUGUUGUAGAUUGCACCUUCUUGUACUGAUUAUAAUGUAAAUAUCUUAUUUGAAGAUCAUAUCUUUUCAGUUUUCUGAAAAAUGAAAAUGGUAAUGGCAUUGAGUUUUUUCCCUGUUGAUGUAUGAAAUAUCUUUAGUUUUAGGAACUUGUGUACAGUUCUCUUAUCUCCUCUCCUUUAGUUGUUUUCGUUCUAUUCAAGAUGAGAAGCAAGUAGAUACAUGUGUGCUUUGGCAAAUGAGCAAUGGCUUAUUGGGUUUCCCAUUUGGCAUGGAUUUACCAAAUCUAUUUGGUUCAAGGCUUCUUAUUGUCAAAACAAAACCAUGAGUUCUAG